GGUUAAGCGACUAAGCGUACACGGUGGAUGCCCUGGCAGUCAGAGGCGAUGAAGGACGUGCUAAUCUGCGAAAAGCGUCGGUAAGGUGAUAUGAACCGUUAUAACCGGCGAUGUCCGAAUGGGGAAACCCAGUGCAAUUCGUUGCACUAUCGUUAACUGAAUACAUAGGUUAACGAGGCGAACCGGGGGAACUGAAACAUCUAAGUACCCCGAGGAAAAGAAAUCAACCGAGAUUCCCCCAGUAGCGGCGAGCGAACGGGGAGCAGCCCAGAGUCUGAAUCAGCUUGUGUGUUAGUGGAACGGUCUGGAAAGUCCGACGGUACAGGGUGAUAGUCCCGUACACCAAAAUGCACAGGUUGUGAACUCGAAGAGUAGGGCGGGACACGUGGUAUCCUGUCUGAAUAUGGGGGGACCAUCCUCCAAGGCUAAAUACUCCUGACUGACCGAUAGUGAACCAGUACCGUGAGGGAAAGGCGAAAAGAACCCCGGCGAGGGGAGUGAAAAAGAACCUGAAACCGUGUACGUACAAGCAGUGGGAGCACCUUCGGGUGUGACUGCGUACCUUUUGUAUAAUGGGUCAGCGACUUAUAUUCUGUAGCAAGGUUAACCGUAUAGGGGAGCCGCAGGGAAACCGAGUCUUAACUGGGCGUUAAGUUGCAGGGUAUAGACCCGAAACCCGGUGAUCUAGCCAUGGGCAGGUUGAAGGUUGGGUAACACUAACUGGAGGACCGAACCGACUAAUGUUGAAAAAUUAGCGGAUGACUUGUGGCUGGGGGUGAAAGGCCAAUCAAACCGGGAGAUAGCUGGUUCUCCCCGAAAGCUAUUUAGGUAGCGCCUCGUGAACUCAUCUUCGGGGGUAGAGCACUGUUUCGGCUAGGGGGUCAUCCCGACUUACCAACCCGAUGCAAACUACGAAUACCGAAGAAUGUUAUCACGGGAGACACACGGCGGGUGCUAACGUCCGUCGUGAAGAGGGAAACAACCCAGACCGCCAGCUAAGGUCCCAAAGUCAUGGUUAAGUGGGAAACGAUGUGGGAAGGCACAGACAGCCAGGAUGUUGGCUUAGAAGCAGCCAUCAUUUAAAGAAAGCGUAAUAGCUCACUGGUCGAGUCGGCCUGCGCGGAAGAUGUAACGGGGCUAAACCAUGCACCGAAGCUGCGGCAGCGACACUAUGUGUUGUUGGGUAGGGGAGCGUUCUGUAAGUCUGCGAAGGUGACCUGUGAGGGUUGCUGGAGGUAUCAGAAGUGCGAAUGCUGACAUAAGUAACGAUAAAGCGGGUGAAAAGCCCGCUCGCCGGAAGACCAAGGGUUCCUGUCCAACGUUAAUCGGGGCAGGGUGAGUCGACCCCUAAGGCGAGGCCGAAAGGCGUAGUCGAUGGGAAACAGGUUAAUAUUCCUGUACUUGGUGUUACUGCGAAGGGGGGACGGAGAAGGCUAUGUUAGCCGGGCGACGGUUGUCCCGGUUUAAGCAUGUAGGCUGAUUAUCCAGGCAAAUCCGGAUAAUCAAGGCUGAGGUGUGAUGACGAGGCACUACGGUGCUGAAGUAACAAAUGCCCUGCUUCCAGGAAAAGCCUCUAAGCAUCAGGUAACAUUAAAUCGUACCCCAAACCGACACAGGUGGUCAGGUAGAGAAUACCAAGGCGCUUGAGAGAACUCGGGUGAAGGAACUAGGCAAAAUGGUGCCGUAACUUCGGGAGAAGGCACGCUGGUGUGUAGGUGAAGUCCCUGCGGAUGGAGCUGAGACCAGUCGAAGAUACCAGCUGGCUGCAACUGUUUAUUAAAAACACAGCACUGUGCAAACACGAAAGUGGACGUAUACGGUGUGACGCCUGCCCGGUGCCGGAAGGUUAAUUGAUGGGGUUAUCCGUAAGGAGAAGCUCUUGAUCGAAGCCCCGGUAAACGGCGGCCGUAACUAUAACGGUCCUAAGGUAGCGAAAUUCCUUGUCGGGUAAGUUCCGACCUGCACGAAUGGCGUAAUGAUGGCCAGGCUGUCUCCACCCGAGACUCAGUGAAAUUGAACUCGCUGUGAAGAUGCAGUGUACCCGCGGCAAGACGGAAAGACCCCGUGAACCUUUACUAUAGCUUGACACUGAACAUUGAGCCUUGAUGUGUAGGAUAGGUGGGAGGCUUUGAAGCGUGGACGCCAGUCUGCGUGGAGCCAACCUUGAAAUACCACCCUUUAAUGUUUGAUGUUCUAACGUUGGCCCCUGACCGGGGUUGCGGACAGUGUCUGGUGGGUAGUUUGACUGGGGCGGUCUCCUCCCAAAGCGUAACGGAGGAGCACGAAGGUUAGCUAAUCCUGGUCGGACAUCAGGAGGUUAGUGCAAUGGCAUAAGCUAGCUUGACUGCGAGCGUGACGGCGCGAGCAGGUGCGAAAGCAGGUCAUAGUGAUCCGGUGGUUCUGAAUGGAAGGGCCAUCGCUCAACGGAUAAAAGGUACUCCGGGGAUAACAGGCUGAUACCGCCCAAGAGUUCAUAUCGACGGCGGUGUUUGGCACCUCGAUGUCGGCUCAUCACAUCCUGGGGCUGAAGUAGGUCCCAAGGGUAUGGCUGUUCGCCAUUUAAAGUGGUACGCGAGCUGGGUUUAGAACGUCGUGAGACAGUUCGGUCCCUAUCUGCCGUGGGCGCUGGAGAAUUGAGGGGGGCUGCUCCUAGUACGAGAGGACCGGAGUGGACGCAUCACUGGUGUUCGGGUUGUCAUGCCAAUGGCACUGCCCGGUAGCUAAAUGCGGAAGAGAUAAGUGCUGAAAGCAUCUAAGCACGAAACUUGCCCCGAGAUGAGUUCUCCCUGAGACUUUAAGUCUCCUGAAGGAACGUUAAAGACGAUGACGUUGAUAGGCCGGGUGUGUAAGCGCAGCGAUGCGUUGAGCUAACCGGUACUAAUGAACCGUGAGGCUUAACCUU
rnacentral:rRNA from 1 species